UUUUGGUAAUCCCAAAAAAUAUCGCUUAUCCCGUCCCGUUCCAUCCCGGUCCGUUCCGGUUCCAUCCCAAUAUAUAGUGAAACAAGACGGAACCGAUUAUUUAUUCCGAUAAUUCCUGUCAGAUUCAUUCCGAUACCGGUCAACAGGUUCCGUUCCAAUCCGAUACCAAUUUGUUCCGGUCCAAUGAACCGAUUCCGGUCCGUUGACCAGUCUUACGGCUAUCAUUUGUUGUAGCGAAAAGCUUUGUGAAUAGUACUUCAAAAUUAUAAGCAAACCACGUGUACUGAAUUUGUGGUCAUUUAAGGGGUACUUCUGAUUUUAUUUUUUGGAUUUGAUUUUAGGUCUUAUUUUGUCUACUUAUUAUUCGAAUGGUUUGUUUUUUUGGUUCAAUUUGCUGAUCUAUUCGGUCUUUGUGUGUGUUGCAUGCACUGAAUUUAAAUUUAAUUUGGUGUUGUUUUGAUCCAUCAAAUGUAGAAACUUCAUAUUCAAAAAUAUCUCCAUUUCUCAUAGGGAAUGUUCGACAAAGAAAAUGACGAGUGUUGCAUGCCUUGAAGGAAGUUGGCAGGAUCUAUCCUUUUUGCUGUUUUUGGGCUAGAUUCUGAACUAUCUUCAUGACUUCUCCCUGUUUUUCUCACUUUUUCAAAGUAUCAAAUUUCCUGUUAAUGGAUAUCUGAUGGUAGUUUAUGGCUUGAGAGCCUAAGACUUUUAAUUGGUCUCUAAUUUCACUAAUGUAAUCGCUAGGUAGUAAUUUACAGAAAUGCAUAUACACUUCAAUCAUCUUAAAAGUCUUAAACUAUUACUUGAACAAGUUGGUAAAAUUUGUUCUAAACACUGAAGCUAAAAUUAUAGGGAUGAUCGAAAUCAUAUAUUAGAUGUCAUAGAUUCUAACUUAAAAGGUCACAAUUGUUUCACUAUUACAUGGUAUUCAAUAGUGUUUGUCUAAGCUGAAAAUACAUCUAUUUACAUGUAACAAUAGUUCACCUUUUCGGUCUCGCUGUCCGCGUUUCAAUUUAUUUAUCCUAUUUUGACUUGGCACAAAGUUCAACAAAAUAUAAAAGAAUUUUGAAUCUUGUCGUCUAAUUAAAAGUUAUGUCAAUUGGACCAAAAUGUACUCUAAUCUUGUGGUUUUAAGUAAAAAAUUGAAAUUGAAGAGUUGCUUAACAAAGGAAAGAGACAUUCUUUUUGGACUAAAAGGAAAGUAAGACAAAUAAAUUGUACCGGAUGGAGCAGUUUUUUUUUUGUAAGUAUAUGUAUUAAUAAUUGCUAUGAUAUUUAUUUGAAGGUAAAAGAGGCAUAAAGCAUAGGGGGAAUUUUAUAAACUUGCUCUAAUUUAGAGAUGAAUCAUAACUUUGGUUAUUUUGAUGAGUAUCAAUAGGCCUAAGGAUUGAAAGAAUGAAUUUAUAAAAUGAUGAUGAUGAUAGUCGAGAUAAUUUUUUUUUGGAUAUCUGAGUGCUUUUUAAGGAAGAGGAAGAAAUUAUUGUGAUAAAAUUUGACAUGCUAUUUCUAAUCUGUGGAAACGUGGUAACCCAAAAAGAGGAAAAAAAUGUAACUCUUCAAAAGCUUGAAUCUUUAAGCAUAUUCUUGGCAACUUUUCUAAUUGACCCAAUUAACUCCUGAAAUGUUCCAAUUGUUGAAAAUAUAAAUGAGGGAAGAAAAGGUAAAAAGAAAAAUUACUAUCAUCUAAGUCCGGAAUUGUUGUGUAAGAUCGGUGAAGUUUCCAUGUUGUUUGUCCUCUGAGGAAGUUCUACCCUCAAGUUUCCGGGUUAGGUUCAUGUUCCCUAGAACAGAAAGACAUAAUUGGAUAUAGUUGGUCAUUUAUGUGUUCUAUGGUGAUACAAAUCUUACAUUUAAUAUGUUUUUAUUCACCUUGAUUCAGUAUUUUCACAUUGAUAGGUGAUAUGAUAUGCUCUGCUUUUAAUUCUACAAAUCAUUCAUCCAUAAUUGUAUUUAAAGUCAUUUAAAUUUUCAUGGAGUUGAUGUGAAAAAUGUAGUAGCAUUAACAUAGAGGAAAGAAUAUGUUGAUGAAAACACCUCUGGAGUAUGUAGUUUUCUUAAGCAUCUCCCCGAUACAUUUGUGUUUUCUAAGACAUUUAUUAUAUUUUGUUUGAAGCCUUCUUUGGCAAUGCCAACAUAAUUGCCUUAGAUUUCUUCGAUUAUUUGAUGUUUGUUUCUCCCCAUCUCUUCUCAAAUUGGAUACCUUCUAUCACAUGUUUCUAACAAAUGUAUUGGCUACAAGUUUCAUGGUUUAAUAGAACAUGAUGAAAUUUUUAUCAAGCCAUAUCAAAUCUUGAAUCACAGUGAUGGCAAUGAGGCACCCGGUCAAAAGCGAGAGAAACCCCAUCCCUCUCUUUCCUUUUUUCGCCCCCAUGUCGCCACACGGGGGGAACAUAGGGACGAUGAAAGCGAUGGAAUUCUUGAAGUAAGUGUAGACCUUUGAAAUUAUUUUUUUCUAGCAAUAUCUCGAAAUCUUUUCAGCUGCUCAACAUUAUAACUGGUGGUGUCACCUUAGGAACAGGAAAAAGAGUAGUUUGAUUGCUACACCCUUUACUGGUAAGUUUGCUACUUUAGUUCUUCUCCUUACCUGUAUAUUAUUAUGUAUAGACUGGACGACUAAAUUGACUCCCUGCCUAUUGGUUGGAAAUUUUCAAAGUACGAUAUUUAUUCCCUCUCCAUAUAAUAAGAUUCUUCAUUCAACUAUUUCAUGGAACAUAGUAGGUAUCAACAUAAUAUGAGACCUUUUAUUUUUUAAAAUCGUACGGAAAAGGAUUUCAAAUAUUGAUUCAGCUUUGAAUUUAUGAUUGUAUGCAUGACUUAACUACUAAGAAGGAAAAGAGGAUAUGGAAAUUUCUAGCUUUCCUAUUGAGUCAGGCAGUCGACUUUAGCGUGCAACAAGUCGAUUAAAUUUUCUACUGCUUUCAAAAGAAGAAAUAUUAUCCAAGAUAAUUUUUUUUGCUGCAAAGAUAAGUAUCUAUCAUGUACAAUUGGUGUUGCCAAUAUUCUUAUUAUGAUGAUUUAAUAGUUUUUACCUCUGUAGGAGUGAUGACACAUUUCUUGUACAAAUUUACAUACAACCUAUACUAUCGUUAAACUAAUUCAACUCCUUUUAAGCUUACAAUAAGAAGCUCUGCCGUGAGUAUACUUUUGCUACAAAUAUGAUUUUUAUUUUGUUUGGUGUUUAUUUUGUGCUCUUUGCAUAGUUUAUAUGUUCUAGGACCAAAUAGUAAAAGUUACACUUCUGAAGUUUAUACGUUGUAGGUGACAUUGUAAAAUUUUCUAGAUCUAUGUCAUGAUAGAGUAAGAAAUAAUAGUACAUGAAUGAUUAUGAGAUGAUGGAAGCAAAAAUUUAAUAGUAUGAUGCAUGAUAUGUGUAAUGUUUUAUGAUUUUGUAAUUUAUUGUUUUGCUUUUACAGGAAUUUCUCUGUUAUGUUAUUAUCAAGUCAUGACAUAUGAUUCAUUUAUGACAUUACAACAAAUUGAAUUUAUCAACUAGGACAGAAUGCAACUGACUCUUCUCGACAUCUGCCACUUCACUAGAUAUUUUUAACAAAAAAAGACAUCUGAUGAGAAAUUCAAGAAUAAUUGGCAUCUCCAUGUUUCCUUUUGAGAGUGAUUGUGUCACCUCACUUUAGUUUCAUGUUUCUUUGUUAGAGAAGAUCCAAUUAAUUAUUACCAGAUUAAAAUCUGAUUUGUAUGAGAAAAAAGGUGUAUGCCUUUGUACUUCUGCUACAAUUUCAUUUAUCAAUUUCCGCUUUUUGUUCAA